rnacentral:misc_RNA from 1 species
AAGUCGUAACAAGGUUUCCGUAGGUGAACCUGCGGAAGGAUCAUUACCGAGUUUUGAAUUCGUUCAACCUCUCCACCCUUUGUGAACCAAAUUGUUCAACUUUGGCGAGACGCCUUGGUUUUAACGAGCCAAGCCGCUGGCAAGAAAUUGCGAGUGUGUGUUCGUCAAAGGUCAAGUACAAACCCUUUUUAUUCUGUUGAAUGAUGUCUGAGAGAAGAGAAAAAGAAAAUCAAAA